rnacentral:rRNA from 1 species
GCAAUGCGCGCAAGCGCGACGAGGGGAUUCCAAGUGCAUGCACUCAGUGUAUGCUGUUUAUUAGUUUAAAACGCUAGUAGAGUAAGGGCUGGGUAAGACUGGUGCCAGCCGCCGCGGUAAUACCAGCGGCCCUAGUGGUGAUCGUUAUUAUUGGGCCUAAAGCGUCCGUAGCCGGCCCGGUAAAUCUCUGGGUAAAUCGAUGGGCUCAACUCAUCGAAUUCUGGGGAGACUGCUGGGCUUGGGACCGGGAGAGGUCGGAGGUACUACAGGGGUAGGGGUGAAAUCCUGUAAUCCCUGUGGGACCACCGGUGGCGAAGGCGUCCGACCAGAACGGGUCCGACGGUAAGGGACGAAGCCCUGGGGCGCAAACCGGAUUAGAUACCCGGGUAGUCCAGGGUGUAAACGCUGCGCGCUUGGUGUUGGGGGUCCUCCGUGGGCAUCCAGUGCCGGAGAGAAGUUGUUAAGCGCGCCGCCUGGGGAGUACGGUCGCAAGACUGAAACUUAA